rnacentral:lncRNA from 1 species
CCUAGGUAGGCCUAUUUAAAGACCUCAUCUUAUUCAUUUUAGGGGUCUUCAGCGAUUAUUCCUUCAGCCAUUAGACUUUCAGCUGAAAACUCACAUAAAUAGUCCAAUUUUCUUUCUUUUUUUUCUGCUCCAAGUUAGUUUCUGCAAUCAAGCAAUAUAAAAAAAAUACAAAAAAAUAUACAGAAAAGAGAAAAUACAUAAAAAAAACUUUGAUGCAUCAAGUAUUGUGUGUUCUGAUAGUUAUUCUCCAUGAAUUAUCACUUUUGAGUUGAACCUGUGGUCUCUUCUUCUGGUUACUAAGCUUGUUCUAAGUGUGUUGAUCCUAUUUUGGUUGGUUUCAAUUUGGAAUUGGCUGUCUAAGCUUGGUUUGGGUGUUUGCUGGUUGCUUAUUCAUUUAGUGGUCACCUCUGGGUUAAUUUGAUGAUGUUUUGGAAGCGAACUGUUGGCUCUCCUUGAUUUAAACACUUCCAGAUUGUUUGAUCUUAUUUCUGGGCUGUUUGUGAUCAAUAUUGAUUGUUGCUGACUUCUUCUGCUUCCUCUCAAUUUCAAAUUCCAGGUACUUACCUCACUUUGAAUGAUGUAUGUGAUUGUGAGCUGAAUAAAAUCAAGUUGGAAAGGAUUGAAGCGCAAGAUGAUUUUUCUGUUUUAAUAUGCUUGCUACUCACUGUUAUGCAUUUGAAAUGUUAGAAUCAUGUAUAUUAAUUUGACUAUAGUUGGACUGUUAAAUUAGCCUAUAUUAUGGCAGAGAAUAUUUGUUUCUAAGUAUUUGGAGUCUUUGAAUCUUGUUGUGUCGUUAAAAUGGAAAGAUUUUGGAAUAUUUGUAUAUGAUAGUGAGUUUGAGCUAAACUGAAGUAGCU